UGGGACAAAAGCAUCGGCCGAGCUGGUCAAUGAUGCAGAUUAAUCUUGGUUGUAGUAUGCGUGCGUUUCGGGAAAAAGGAAAGCUUAGAUCAUAUACUUGUGUGCGUCGGAAUCUACCCUGCCAGUAAUGCAUGUUGUCUUUAUUGGAGGCCAUCCAAGCCGAUGCUCAGAUCGUGCAGCCACGCUCGCUCAAGAUGGGAGAGGCCUCUCUAAUAAUAGGCAUGAAUGAAACAAAAAGAAUGUGGCCUCUCUAAUAAUAGUAGUAAGAGCAAAAUAAACCCAUAUUCUUCCUGUAAUGUGGUUUAUCUAAUAAAAGUACGAAGAGCAAAAUAAAUCUAUGUUCUACCAGCA
rnacentral:lncRNA from 1 species